AUUGAACGCUGGCGGCAGGCCUAACACAUGCAAGUCGAGCGAGCGGCGGACGGGUGAGAAAUGUAUCUGGACUGCCCGUUAGAGGGGGAUAACUACUCGAAACGGUAGCUAAUACCGCAUACUAUCGGAUAACCCAUAUGGGAUUAGCUAGUAGGUUAGGGAAUGGCUCACCUAGGCGACGAUCCCUAGCUGGUCUGAGAGGAAGAUCAGCCACACUGGGACUGAGACACGGCCCAGACUCCUACGGAGGCAGCAGUGGGGAAGAUUGCACAAUGGGCGCAAUCCUGAUGCAGCCAUGCCGCGUGUAUGAAGAAGGCCCUAGGGUUGUAAAGUACUUUCAGUCGGGAGGCGUUACCGACAGAAGAAGCACCGGCUAACUCCGUGCCAGCAGCCGCGGUAAUAC
rnacentral:rRNA from 1 species